AGUCAAGUAAUUAAGUGCAUGUGGUGGAUGCCUUGGCAGUCAGAGGCGAUGAAAGACGUGAUAGCCUGCGAAAAGCUCCGGGGAGGCGGCAAAUAUCCUUUGAUCCGGAGAUGUCUGAAUGGGGGAACCCACCUACUUUAAGGUAGGUAUUGCAACAUGAAUACAUAGUGUUGCAAGGCGAACGAGGGGAAGUGAAACAUCUCAGUACCCUUAGGAAAAGAAAUCAAUUGAGAUUCCCUCAGUAGCGGCGAGCGAACGGGGAUCAGCCCAUUAAGUUAUGUGUGUUUUAGUGGAACGCUCUGGGAAGUGCGAACGUAGAGGGUGAUAUUCCCGUACACGAAAGGGCACACAUAAUGAUGACGAGUAGGGCGAGGCACGUGAAACCUUGUCUGAAUAUGGGGGGACCAUCCUCCAAGGCUAAAUACUCCUGACUGACCGAUAGUGAACCAGUACCGUGAGGGAAAGGCGAAAAGAACCCCUGUGAGGGGAGUGAAAUAGAUCCUGAAACCGCAUGCAUACAAGCAGUGGGAGCACCUUCGUGGUGUGACUGCGUACCUUUUGUAUAAUGGGUCAGCGACUUAUAUUCAGUAGCGAGGUUAACCGUAUAGGGGAGCCGUAGAGAAAUCGAGUCUUAAUAGGGCGUUUAGUUGCUGGGUAUAGACCCGAAACCAGGCGAUCUAUCCAUGAGCAGGUUGAAGGUUGGGUAACACUAACUGGAGGACCGAACCCACUGUCGUUGAAAAGCCAGGGGAUGACUUGUGGAUAGGGGUGAAAGGCUAAUCAAGCCUGGUGAUAGCUGGUUCUCCCCGAAAGCUAUUUAGGUAGCGCCUCGGACGAAUACCAUAGGGGGUAGAGCACUGUUUCGGCUAGGGGGUCAUCCCGACUUACCAAACCGAUGCAAACUCCGAAUACCUAUGAGUACUAUCCGGGAGACAGACUGCGGGUGCUAACGUCCGUAGUCAAGAGGAAAACAAUCCAGACCGCCAGCUAAGGCCCCAAAAUCAUAGUUAAGUGGGAAACGAUGUGGGAAGGCAUAGACAGCUAGGAGGUUGGCUUAGAAGCAGCCACCCUUUAAAGAAAGCGUAAUAGCUCACUAGUCGAGUCGGCCUGCGCGGAAGAUGUAACGGGGCUAAAACUAUGUGCCGAAGCUGCGGAUGUAUACUUUGUAUACGUGGUAGGGGAGCGUUCUGUAAGCCGAUGAAGGUGUGUUGAGAAGCAUGCUGGAGGUAUCAGAAGUGCGAAUGCUGACGUGAGUAACGACAAAACGGGUGAAAAACCCGUUCGCCGAAAGACCAAGGGUUCCAGUCCAACGUUAAUCGGGGCUGGGUGAGUCGACCCCUAAGGCGAGGCCGAAAGGCGUAGUCGAUGGGAAAAUGGUUAAUAUUCCAUUACUUCUGUGUAAUGCGAUGAGAGGACGGAGAAGGCUAAAUCAGCCUGGCGUUGGUUGUCCAGGUGAAAGGAUGUAGGCAUGUAUCUUAGGCAAAUCCGGGGUACUCUAUGCUGAGAUCUGAUAGCAAGCUGUACUUGUACAGCGAAGUGGUUGAUGCCAUGCUUCCAGGAAAAGUCUCUAAGCUUCAGUUACACAGGAAUCGUACCCGAAACCGACACAGGUGGUCAGGUCGAGUAGACCAAGGCGCUUGAGAGAACUCUGCUGAAGGAACUAGGCAAAAUGGUACCGUAACUUCGGGAGAAGGUACGCUGUUGUUGGUGAUGGAACUCGCUUCCUGAGCUGA
rnacentral:rRNA from 1 species